rnacentral:rRNA from 1 species
CACGUAGGGCGCAAGCGUUGUCCGGAAUUACUGGGCGUAAAGGGCUCGUAGGCGGCCAACUAAGUCAGACGUGAAAUCCCUCGGCUUAACCGGGGAACUGCGUCUGAUACUGGAUGGCUUGAGAUUGGGAGAGGGAUGCGGAAUUCCAGGUGUAGCGGUGAAAUGCGUAGAUAUCUGGAGGAACACCGGUGGCGAAGGCGGCAUCCUGGACCAACACUGACGCUGAGUGAGCGAAAGCCAGGGGAGCAAACGGG